UGGGGAAUUUUGGACAAUGGGCGAAAGCCUGAUCCAGCAAUGCCGUGUGUGUGAAGAAGGCCUUCGGGUUGUAAAGCACUUUUGUCCGGAAAGAAAUCCUUGGCUCUAAUACAGUCGGGGGAUGACGGUACCGGAAGAAUAAGCACCGGCUAACUACGUGCCAGCAGCCGCGGUAAUACGUAGGGUGCAAGCGUUAAUCGGAAUUACUGGGCGUAAAGCGUGCGCAGGCGGUUUGCUAAGACCGAUGUGAAAUCCCCGGGCUCAACCUGGGAACUGCAUUGGUGACUGGCAGGCUAGAGUAUGGCAGAGGGGGGUAGAAUUCCACGUGUAGCAGUGAAAUGCGUAGAGAUGUGAGGAAUACCGAUGGCGAAGGCAGCCCCCUGGGCCAAUACUGACGCUCAUGCACGGAAGCGUGGGGGAGC
rnacentral:rRNA from 1 species